rnacentral:rRNA from 1 species
GACGAACGCUGGCGGCGUGCUUAACACAUGCACGUCGAACGAAGUGGCGAACGGGUGAGUAACGCGUAAUCAACCUGCCCUUCAGAGGGGGACAAAAGUUGGAAACGACUGCUAAUACCGCAUACUGAAGGAGGGGAUUGCGUCUGAUUAGCUAGUUGGAGGGGUAACGGCCCACGAAGGCGAUGAUCAGUAGCCGGGCUGAGAGGAGGAACGGCCACAUGGGGACUGAGAAAAGGCCCAGACUCAUACGGGAGGCAGCAGUGGGGAAUCUGCCGCAAUGGACGAAAGUCUGACGGAGCAACGCCGCGGGAGUGAUGACGGCCUUCGGGUUGUAAAGCUGUGUUAAUCGGGACGCGGUACCGGAAUAGAAAGCCACGGCUAACUACGUGCCAGCAGCCGCGGUAAUUC